AUAAUAGUGGUGUAAAGCAUAAAAAAUUUUCUAUUUUUUGGUGAAUAAAUUUCCUAUUAUA
rnacentral:tRNA from 1 species